rnacentral:rRNA from 1 species
UACGUAGGGGACUAGCGUUGUUCGGAAUUACUGGGCGUAAAGCGCACGUAGGCGGAUUUGUAAGUCAGGGGUGAAAUCCCGGGGCUCAACCUCGGAACUGCCUUUGAUACUGCAAAUCUCGAGUCCGGAAGAGGUGAGUGGAAUUCCUAGUGUAGAGGUGAAAUUCGUAGAUAUUAGGAAGAACACCCGUGGCGAAGGCGGUUCUCUGGGACGGUACUGACGCUGAGACGCGAAAGCGUGGGGAGCGAACAGG